rnacentral:rRNA from 1 species
AUUGAACGCUGGCGGCAGGCUUAACACAUGCAAGUCGAGCGGGGUGAUGGUGCUUGCACUAUCACUUAGCGGCGGACGGGUGAGUAAUGCUUAGGAAUCUGCCUAUUAGUGGGGGACAACAUCUCGAAAGGGAUGCUAAUACCGCAUACGUCCUACGGGAGAAAGCAGGGGAUCACUUGUGACCUUGCGCUAAUAGAUGAGCCUAAGUCGGAUUAGCUAGUUGGUGGGGUAAAGGCCUACCAAGGCGACGAUCUGUAGCGGGUCGGAGAGAAUGAUCCGGCACACUGGGACUUAGAAACGGCCCAGACUCCUACGGGAGGCAGCAGUGGGGAAUAUUGGACAAUGGGGGGAACCCUGAUCCAGCCAUGCCGCGUGUGUGAAGAAGGCCUUAUGGUUGUAAAGCACUUUAAGCGAGGAGGAGGCUCUUUUGGUUAAUACCCAAGAUGAGUGGACGUUACUCGCAGAAUAAGCACCGGCUAACUCUGUGCCAGCCGCCGCCGUAA